AAUGCUUUAUUAACAGGAACAGUGAUGCUACAUCCGGGGAUUUAAGGGGCAUCAGCUGGGUUUGAUGGGAGUGUGUAGAGUUGGAGAAGGUCCAUGAGAUCAGAGCUUUUAGUCUUAGAGCUGGAGAAGGUCCAUGAGAUCACAGCUUUACUUUAGUCUUAGAGCUGGAGAAGGUCCAUGAGAUCACAGCUUUUAGUCUUAGAGCUGGAGAAGGUCCAUGAGAUCAGAGCUUUACUUUAGUCUUAGAGCUGGAGAAGGUCCAUGAGAUCACAGCUUUUAGUCUUAGAGCUGGAGAAGGUCCAUGAGAUCAGAGCUUUACUUUAGUCUUAGAGCUGGAGAAGGUCCAUGAGAUCAGAGCUUUUAGUCUUAGAGCUGGAGAAGGUCCAUGAGAUCACAGCUUUACUUUAGUCUUUUCUUCUGUCCCAGAUUCCAACUGGUCAUUUUAUGUCUCCCCCAAGAGUGUGUGUGUGUGUGUGCACUGGGGAUGUUAGUGUCCUUAUAUAGUGUGUGUGUGUCAAGUCAAGUCGAGAAGCUUUUAUUGUCAUUACACCAUAUAUAACUGUUACAGUACACAGUGACAUGAGACAACGUUUCUCCAGGAUCAGUGUGUUACAUAACAAAAAGACAGAGCUAUAAGGACUUAGUAAGUGUCCUAGAUACAUAAAGUGUGUCUGUGUAACCUGGUGUACACAGUGUGAGACAAGACAGACAAGACAGUGCAGGACAA